rnacentral:rRNA from 1 species
AUGGACGCAAGUCUGAUGGAGCAACGCCGCGUGAGUGAAGAAGGGUUUCGGCUCGUAAAGCUCUGUUGGUAGUGAAGAAAGAUAGAGGUAGUAACUGGCCUUUAUUUGACGGUAAUUACUUAGAAAGUCACGGCUAACUACGUGCCAGCAGCCGCGGUAAUACGUAGGUGGCAAGCGUUGUCCGGAUUUAUUGGGCGUAAAGCGAGUGCAGGCGGUUCAAUAAGUCUGAUGUGAAAGCCUUCGGCUCAACCGGAGAAUUGCAUCAGAAACUGUUGAACUUGAGUGCAGAAGAGGAGAGUGGAACUCCAUGUGUAGCGGUGGAAUGCGUAGAUAUAUGGAAGAACACCAGUGGCGAAGGCGGCUCUCUGGUCUGCAACUGACGCUGAGGCUCGAAAGCAUGGGUAGCGAACAGGAUUAGAUACCCUGGUAGUCCAUGCCGUAAACGAUGAGUGCUAAGUGUUGGGAGGUUUCCGCCUCUCAGUGCUGCAGCUAACGCAUUAAGCACUCCGCCUGGGGAGUACGACCGCAAGGUCGAAACUCAAAGGAAUUGACGGGGGCCCGCACAAGCGGUGGAGCAUGUGGUUUAAUUCGAAGCAACGCGAAGAACCUUACCAGGUCUUGACAUCCGGUGC